UCCCUGGUGGCUCAGUGGUAAAGAAUCUGUUUGCCAGUGCAGGAGUUCCGGGUUCAAACCCUGGUUCGGGAA
rnacentral:tRNA from 1 species